rnacentral:rRNA from 1 species
GAGGGGGAGGGGGGAAUCUGAUCUCUUUUGUGGGGGAUAGUAGGGAACUUGUUUACCGCAUAGCCUCGGUAAAAGGGACUUGGCCUUGCGCGUUGAAUGAGCGAGUCCAUUAUAGUUGGUGGGGAAAGGCCCCAGAGCGAUCGUAGUGUUGAGAGGAUGAUCACCACACUGUGAGACCGGUCCAGACUCUGGGAGGCACAGUGGGGAAUAUUGACAAGGGCAAGCCUGAUCCAGCCAUCCGCGUGGGGAAGAAGCCUUCGGGUGUAACCUUUUGUUGGGAAAGAAAUCCACCGUAUACCUGGUGGGAGACGGUCCAAAGAAUAACCCGGUAUUGUGCCACACGCGGUAAUAGAAGGGUGCAAGGUUUGAAUUUGGGGUAAAGCGUGGUAGGUGGUGUUUAAUUUUGUGAAAGCCCGGGCUCACUGGGAUGCAGUGGAAACUGGACGAUAGAGUGUGUAGAGGGUAGGGAAUUCGUGUAGCAGUGAAAGGUAGAGAUCGGAGGAACAUCCAUGGGAAGGCAGCUCCUGGCCACCGACACUGGGACGAAAGGUGGGGAGCAACAGAUUAGAUACCCGGUUCCACCCCUAAAGAUGAAUGGAUUUGGGGCAAUUUGGCCCAGUAUCGAAGCUAGGUAAGUUCGCCGCCUGGGGAGUACGGUCGCAAGAUAUCAAAGAAUACGGGGCCGCCAGGUACUUAGAG